rnacentral:rRNA from 1 species
UACAGAGGUCUCAAGCAUUGUUCGGAUUCAUUGGGCGUAAAGGGUGUGUAGGUGGCGCGCUAAGUCGGGUGUGAAAUUUCGGAGCUUAACUUCGAAACUGCAUUCGAUACUGGCGUGCUUGAGGACCGGAGAGGAUAGUGGAAUUCCCAGUGUAGUGGUGAAAUACGUAGAGAUUGGGAAGAACACCAGUGGCGAAGGCGGCUAUCUGGACGGUUUCUGACGCUAAGACGCGAAAGCGUGGGGAGCAAACAGG